CGCGGUUGGGGUCCGAUUGCGGCUGGCGGUCCGUUUCUCGGCUGUUCCUGGGCCUACCCGCCCACCGCGCCUAUCCAACAAAGAGAAAAUCCUGCCCCCUCGAGUCACAUACAGGCUAGACUGGAUCAGGCUGGCAGAUUCCUUCCCAAAAAAGAUUAGUGAACCAGAGAUCACACAAUAAUGAUCAGUGGUUGAAAUCCUGAGACAAUAGUCUCUUUCGUAACCCACAGAUGCUGCUGAAAAUUGCCGUGCUCCUACUGCCAGUCCAGUUUCUGCAACCUUUGGAUCGAUGAUUGGAUUGAUAAGAAAACGGACCUUUCUUUUCCUCCAAGUCAACUCUAAUGUCUAAAACUUUAGGUUUUAGUUUCCAAGCCUUACAUCAAGAAUCUGCAUGUCAGAGAAAGAGGGACCAAAAUAAUGCCUGUUGUUUUCAUCAAGUGGAACACAAUGCCCAAAUCUUCCGGUCUCUGGAAUGCCGUACCCCCGAUGUACCCCUGAAGAUGAACUGCUGGACCCGUGACAAGCCCAAUGCAAGGACUCCACAGGAAUUUCCCAGGAUGUUUCAACUUCCACUUGGCAAUUCCCUUGCAUCCAGAACCAUUUCAAAAAGUCUCUAACUCUGAGCUUGAGACAGAGACUUCAGGGAGUUCUGAUUCACUUACCUGAAUAGUCACCCAGGAAAUGUUAGACAGAGGAAAACCAUGUCUAACUCCUGGGUAACUAUAUAACUGACACCCCCUCAAAACUCCUGAUCCUCCGACUACCAUCUCCCCUCCGCCUCCCACACCCUCCACCCCAGACCUUUUGACUACUGCCCGAGCUGAUCUGACCAAUCCUCACCAUCCAAUUCAGCCAACACCUUACCUAACCUACCAUCAAUCACCCUACUUACCUGCCCAGCUGAUACCCUACCCACUUACCUCACUUGCACUCAUUUACCAACACACUGAAAAGCUACUGAAAUGUCCUAAAGCUUUUCACUGUGUUAGCGAAGGAAGACUUACAAAAAAUAUGGCAGAUAGUGUUAUUGAAAGAGGGCUUAGCUUGGCUUCCCCUGACGAUACUACGCUGCAAAGAAGGACUCCAUGAACAGGUAGGCUCCACAUUUCUGAAGAGGCCCAGUUUGGACAUCCGGGCCAGAAAUGCAGAGCCCUGGCUCUGGAUAAAAGAAUAGGAGCGGAGUGGCAAUCUGACAUGAUCACUGUUCUUUGGAAAAUUCAGCCCAAUGUUUUGUGCACUGGUCAUUUCACUGUCUUCAGGACUUUCCAUACAAAAUUGUGGCACAUACACAACAAAUCAUACUAUACAACAUGCAAAACAUGGUAGAAUGUCUGAAAGAGAUAGACAGAAAUAGACUGUCCAAUUUUCACCCCUUAUUUCAUGAAGACACUGACUGACCCAAACUGCAGCCCUGUUCCACAGUCAUUGACUGACUGACCCACAUUGAAGUCCUGCUCCACAAGCACUGAGUGACCCACGCUGCAGCCCUGUUCCACAGGCACUAACAGACCCACACUGCAGCCCUGUUCCACAGGCACUGACGUGUUCAAUAGGCACUGACAUGUUCCACAGUUUUUCAAGAGUUGGACAUUUAUCACCUCUAAGCAUAAACACAGUCCUAAGUCAAUUCAACAAUGAUUGGAUGAAUGCUCAGAGUGGUUGGGGAGAAAUUAGAUUUCUGUUUGUUUUACAUCAGUUUUAUUUCCCAAUGUAUGCUACUGAGGUAGGGAAAUUUGUCAUAAAUUUACAAGUAGGUUCAAUCAGUGUGGAAACUGGCAUAAAUUUCAGAUCAAGGAAAUUUCAUUCCAAAGUUUCACAUUGUCCAUUUCCUACCCCCACCACUCUAAACACAAAGUACAUGCAAAUUGGUACAGAUUAAUUUUCAAAUUAUAACAUAGAACCAUGCUAAUCUUACAUUCUUUUGUAUUAGUCACAAGCAUCCACAAUAUACUGAAAGUUUAUAAAGUCCCAUUACAUAUUUACUUCCUGUAAUGUUUCCUCUCUUGCACCCCUAGUGUUAUAAAAUGGCGUACCCUUUCACAGACCGAGCAAUGCCACAAGAGGUCUGCUUGUUUCCCAUAAAACUCUCAGAACUUUAGUUGAUCUGAAAAAAUGUUUAUGGAGUCUAUUAACUGUUUAGUUUAACAAUUCCAUUUCAAUAUAAUGAAUGCUCAACAGUAUUUUUGUUCUAUUUUAAUUACCUUCAUUUUUUUUUAAAGACUGCUACAGGGAAACCACAAUCACUUUGACAGCUUGCUGUAUUUUGCGAAACACAGUUCUAACAGUAAGGUAGUGGCAGCUACAUUUAUUACAUAUUAUUAUACAUUCAUUGCAAAAAGUUCAGCCUAAUCCAUUAAUUUAUUACCGAACUAAAUACUAUUUGUCUGACUUUAUUGAGAUCAGUGAAAACUAUGCUUUCAGUAAUAACCUGAUAUGGGAGCAAGAGAAUUAGAAAUAAUAGACUUGGGUAAGGGUUUUUUUUUGGAUGGGGUGAAAGAAGUGAUGCUAUACUCACCAGAAACCUUCAGAGAAUUAUUACAAGCAGCCACUGGAACUUUCCCACCUUCCUACAAGUAUUUCAAAGUUAAUCACUCAUUACAUAUUUUCUAUAUUUCAAUAUUGUAUUGUGAUUGGAGUUAGAUUGAUUAAAGGUGU